rnacentral:rRNA from 1 species
AGUGAACGCUGGCGGUAGGCCUAACACAUGCAAGUCGAACGGCAGCACAGUAAGAGCUUGCUCUUACGGGUGGCGAGUGGCGGACGGGUGAGGAAUAAAUCGGAAUCUACUUUUUCGUGGGGGAUAACGUAGGGAAACUUACGCUAAUACCGCAUACGACCUACGGGUGAAAGCAGGGGAUCUUCGGACCUUGCGCGAUUGAAUGAGACGAUGUCGGAUUAGAUAGUUGGCGGGGUAAAGGCCCACCAAGGCGACGAUCCGUAGCUGGUCUGAGAGGAUGAUCAGCCACACUGGAACUGAGACACGGUCCAGACUCCGACGGGAGGCAGCAGUGGGGAAUAUUGGACAAUGGGCGCAAGCCUGAUCCAGCCAUACCGCGUGGGUGAAGAAGGCCUUCGGGUGGUAAAGCCCUUUUGUUGGGAAAGAAAAGCAGCAGGUUAAUACCCCGCUGUUCUGACGGUACCCAAAGAAUAAGCACCGGCUAACUUCGUG